GUGACAUCUCCCAGCCUCUGCUGCACUGCAGGCCUCCAGGGAAGCCCUCCUAUCUGCUGCGGAAUUCCUGGAGCAGAAGCAGCUCAAGUACCUGACCCAGACGGAGCAGGCAUGGAGGAUUGGAGAGUGCUUGCUGGUGCAGGACAGGAACAGGGUGGAAGAUUACCUGUGGCAGAGCCUGCUGUACCUGAAGGAUGCUCAGGCCACCGUGCGAGAGGAGGCCGUCAGGUUCACCGGGCUUGCCGCGCGGCACCUGAGGGACCAAAGUGCGGAGCGGCUGCGUGAAGUCUGUGAUGCCCUCAAGCCCUUGCAGGAAGACAUCGAGCCCUCCAUCUGUUCGCUGGCAGCUCAGACCAUGCUGAUCGUGGGUUCUCC